rnacentral:lncRNA from 1 species
AUGUUUUUAACUGAAACUUGGUUGGACCAAAGUAACAGUGGAGCUGUUCUCAUCGAGUCAACCCCUCCUAACUACAGUUUUAUCAGUGAGGCCAGGGUGAGCAGGAGAGGAGGAGGGGUUGCUGUCUUAUUUAAUGAAUCAUUUCAAUGUAAGCAGCUAUCUCCUGGAAGUUUUCAGUCUUUUGAAUAUGUGGCUUUACAGCUGAAGGCCCCAUCCAAAGUUAUGUUUCUUAAUGUUUACAGGCCUCCCAAAUACGGCACAGACUUUUUUAAUGACCUCAGUGAACUGCUGUCUGUGAUCUGUGUUGAUUUCGACUGUGUAAUUAUUGUUGGGGAUUUUAACAUCCAUGUGGACAACCCUCAGGACAAAGGGACUAAAGACCUGAGUAACACUCUGGGCAACUUUGGGCUGACUCAGCAUGUAACAGAGGCCACACAUAAUAGAGGACACACUCUUGACCUACUGAUCUCCAAGGGCCUGAGCAUUUCAAAGGUUACUGUGUCUGAUGUGGGCCUGUCUGAUCAUUACUGUGUUUUCUUUGAAAGUAAAAUCUCAGCCCACACAAAUAUAUCAACAGCAGUGAUCACAAAACAGUGUAUAACUGAGCACAGUAGUGAGAUCUUUAACCAGGUCUUCCCAUUAACACCUGACCUGUCCAGAGGUUCAGUCAAUGAGCUCGUCAAUAGCUUCAAUGCUAAAAUGUUAAAUGUAAUGGACACUAUUGCUCCCAUUAAGGUGAAGGUUAUCUCUGGAAGGAAAAAGUCUCCAUGGAGAAACUCCACACUGGUGAAAAAUGAAAAAAGAGAAUGUAGGAAAGCUGAGCGCAGAUGGAGAAAAACAAACCUCCAGGUUUAUUAUGACAUCUAUAAAGAGAAACUUCACAAUUAUAACUUACAACUGAGGAGUGCAAGGAAGUCCUACUUCUCUGACAUCAUCACCAAAAACAGUCAUAACGCUCGGGUCUUAUUUUCUACAGUUGACAGGCUAACAAACCCUCCUGUGUCAGUGGCAGCUGAACUUCAUUCGACUAUGGCCUGCAAUGACUUUGCCAAAUUCUUCACAGAAAAAAUCCAAAAGAUUAGACAAGCAAUUAAUACAUCAACAGCUGAUCCAGGAUAUGUACUGUGUCCACCGAAAAACCGUUUAAAAACCAUCAAACAGUUUCACCCUAUUAACAGCAAAGACCUGGAGGACAUCUUAGGUCAACUGAACUCCUCCUCUUGCUGUUUAGAUGUCCUGCCAACAAGUUUUUUCAAAAAGGUCUCAAAGACUUUGGAGUCAGACCUGUUACAGAUUGUCAACUUUUCUUUAAUAUUAGGUGUGUUUCCAGAAUCACUAAAAACUGCUGUAAUUAAACCUAUACUGAAAAAGGACAAUCUUGACAAGACACAAAUAAAUAACUACAGGCCGAUCUCAAAUCUCCCAUUUUUAAGUAAGAUUAUUGAAAAAGCAGUUUCUCAACAGCUCAAUUACUUCCUAAAACAAAAUAACUGCUAUGAUGCCUUCUGUUACGCCCCAGUCUAG